UUCACAGAGGUAAGCAGUGCAGUUUUGAGCACAGAGCUCCGAGUAGUGAAGCCUUUUCACAGACAAUAUUCUAGUAGAUCUUUGUUAAAGUCACUUCUCUCCACGUGGCGUCAGUUUAAGAUUUACAUGCAAAGUGCAAGAAGGAGGGGAGGCGGCUGCCUGUUGUUGUUACCAAUCCAGCGCUGACUGCCUCUGCACUUCGCCGUGCUUGGUGUGAGCUGCACUCGUGCAGCUCUCCCGUAACCACCACAAUUUCCUGUUGCACUCAUUUGAAAAGACAGUGUUCCUGAGGAAGUUAUGAAGACGGCAAGAGACCAAAUGGCUCUGCUGCAAGAGGUCUAGAAAGCAGUUUGACAGAAAUGUUUGUGUGCCAUGUGCUGUUUGAACUCUCCAGCUGCUGAGAGCUUGCAGGGGUAACUGCAGUCAAAACCCAAAGAAGAACGCAGGGCCCUUUGCUCCAGGAUAGCAAUGUGCCAUCCAUCAUGCUGGGGAAGCAAAGGCAGCAGGAGGAGAAGACUUUCAGCACAAGUGGUCUGUUCCAUUCCUGAAGCAGCUGAAAAUGAAUUUUGAUUUGAGGUGUAAAACAAAUCCUGCACUUCUGUAUAACUGCUGAUGAA